rnacentral:misc_RNA from 1 species
GAUGAAGAACGCAGCGAAAUGCGAUAAGUAAUGUGAAUUGCAGAAUUCAGUGAAUCAUCGAAUCUUUGAACGCACAUUGCGCCCGCCAGUAUUCUGGCGGGCAUGCCUGUCUGAGCGUCAUUUCAACCCUCAUGCCCCUAGGGCGUGGUGUUGGGGAUCGGCCAAAGCCCGCGAGGGACGGCCGGCCCCUAAAUCUAGUGGCGGACCCGUCGUGGCCUCCUCUGCGAAGUAGUGAUAUUCCGCAUCGGAGAGCGAUGAGCCCCUGCCGUUAAACCCCCAACUUUCCAAGGUUGACCUCAGAUCAGGUAGGAAUACCGGCUGAACUUAAGCAUAUCAAUAAGCGGAGGA